rnacentral:rRNA from 1 species
UGGGCCACAAGCCUGAUCCAGCAAUUCUGUGUGCACGAUGAAGGUCUUCGGAUUGUAAAGUGCUUUCAGUUGGGAAGAAGAAAGUGACGGUACCAACAGAAGAAGCGACGGCUAAAUACGUGCCAGCAGCCGCGGUAAU